rnacentral:rRNA from 1 species
GUGUCAGCCGCCGCGGUAAUACGAAGGGACCUAGCGUAGUUCGGAAUUACUGGGCUUAAAGAGUUCGUAGGUGGUUAAAAAAGUUGGUGGUGAAAUCCCAGAGCUUAACUCUGGAACUGCCAUCAAAACUUUUUAGCUAGAGUAUGAUAGAGGAAAGCAGAAUUUCUAGUGUAGAGGUGAAAUUCGUAGAUAUUAGAAAGAAUACCAAUUGCGAAGGCAGCUUUCUGGAUCAUUACUGACACUGAGGAACGAAAGCAUGGGUAGCGAAGAGGAUUAGAUACCCUCGUAGUCCAUGCCGUAAACGAUGUGUGUUAGACGUUGGAAAUUUAUUUUCAGUGUCGCAGCGAAAGCGAUAAACACACCGCCUGGGGAGUACGACCGCAAGGUUAAAACUCAAAUGAAUUGACGGGGACCCGCACAAGUAGUGGAACAUGUGGUUUAAUUCGAAGAUACGCGCAGAACCUUACCAACACUUGACAUGUUCGUCGCGACUCUAAGAGAUUAGAGUUUUCGGUUUGGCCGGACGAAACACAGGUGCUGCAUGGCUGUCGUCAGCUCGUGUCGUGAGAUGUUGGGUUAAGUCCCGCAACGAGCGCAACCCUUACUUUUAGUUGCCAUCAUUUAGUUGGGCACUCUGAAAGAACUGCCAGUGAUAAGCUGGAGGAAGGUGGGGAUGACGUCAAGUCCUCAUGGCCCUUAUGUGUUGGGCUACACACGUGCUACAAUGGUAUCUACAACAGGAAGCAAGAUGGCAACAUUAAGCAAAUCCUAAAAAGAUACCUCAGUUCGGAUUGCACUCUGCAACUCGAGUGCAUGAAGCUGGAAUUACUAGUAAUCGUGGAUCAGCGUGCCACGGUGAAUGCGUUCCCGGGUCUUGCACACACCGCCCGUC